rnacentral:rRNA from 1 species
AUUGAACGCUGGCGGCAGGCCUAACACAUGCAAGUCGAACGAGUGGCGGACGGGUGAGUAAUGUCUGGGAAACUGCCCGAUGGAGGGGGAUAACUCCUGGAAACGGUAGCUAAUACCGCCUACCAUCUGAUGUGCCCAGAUGGGAUUAGCUAGUUGGUGGGGUAACGGCUCACCAAGGCGACGAUCCCUAGCUGGUCUGAUAGGAUGACCAGCCACCCUAGAACGGAGCCACGGCCCAGACUCCUACGGGAGGCAGCAGUGGGGAAUAUUGCACAAUGGGAGGAAGCCUGAUGCAGCCCUGCCGCGUGUAUGAAGAAGGCAUUGGGGUUGUAAACUACUUUCAGCGGGGAGGCGUUACCCGCAGAAGAAGCACCGGCUAACUCCGUGCCAGCAGCCGCGGUAAUUC